rnacentral:tRNA from 1 species
CCCUGUGUGGUAUAAUCAGUUAAUGUGCUCGGCUGCUAACUGAAAUGUUAGUGGUUCGAGUCCACCCAGAGGCA